ensembl:lncRNA
UCUGGGAGGAGCAGCAAAAGAUGCCGACCUUAAACUAAACCUGAUCUAAAGUAUUGGAAGAGGCACUAACGGGGUAAAAGCAGGUCUCUGGCGGAAAAGCUCAUGAUAGACAUGGCAAUAAAUCCAGAGAAAUAGAGAGAUGGAACUCCAUAUGGAGGUUUUCUAUAAGGCCAAAGAUCCAUGUUGUUGCAUGGAAAAAUACACGAGAAAUUGAGACGCAGCCGGGUGAGGUAGAUAGGUGGUUAAUUUUCUUAUUUAUAUGGAAAGCUUUGCUUCAAAAUCUGUUGUUUGGGAGUCUGAUCACUGAACACGCCACUGUAAUCGCUUCAUGUUUCUUUGAAAGUCCAUCAGCCAUGACGAGCCUAAACUGAGAUGUAGUUAUUAAUGUGUUUUUUGUAGUUACAGUGACAUCAAAAACCUUUUGCAGCAUUGUUUGUUCCAGUCUAAAUGUUGAGAUUUUUUGAUGCUUUUGAAAGAUGAUUUUAUGCUCACCAAGGCUGCAUUUAUAUGAUUAAAAAAAUACUGUAAAACAGCAAUAUUGUGAAAUAUUUGUACUGUUUUGGUUUUAAUAUAUUUUAAAAUGUAAUUUUUUCCUGUGAUGCAAUUUUCUGCAUCAUUACUCCAGUCUUCAGUGUCACAUUAUCCUUCAGAAAUCAUAUUGAUAUGCUGAUUUGCUGCUCAAGAAACAUUUCUUAUUAAUAUCAAUGUUGAAAAGAGUUGUGCUGCUUAAAAUUUUUGUGCAAACCCUGACACAUUUGUAAAUGUUCAAAUGAACAUCAUUUAUUGAAAAUAGAAAAGUUUUGUAGCAUUAUGUCUUUGCUGAAUACAAAUAUUAUUAUUUUUUCUUUUUAACAGUACUGUAUUAUGUUAUAUAAUGCAAUGAUAUUCAGACAUUUUAAAUGUGGUGUUGUAUAAAGUAGUCAUCAAAGUUCAUCAAAGUUGUGCAUUAUGGUUUCAAAAGAAAAAAAACAAGAAACAAAAUGUUUUCUUAAAAUAAAUCUUACUUGUAUAUAAAAAAAUCAUGAUAUUCCUUGUUACAAAAACGUCAUCUAAUUUGAUUUAAAAAGUAUGUUUUAAUAAACCUGGUUUUAAUAGUCUAAUGUGAA